rnacentral:rRNA from 1 species
UCAGUUCAGAUUGCAGGCUGCAACCCGCCUGCAUGAAGUCGGAAUUGCUAGUAAUCGCGGAUCAGCAUGCCGCGGUGAAUACGUUCCCGGGCCUUGUACACACCGCCCGUCACACCACGGGAGCCGGUAAUACCCGAAGUCAGUAGUCCAACCUCGUGAGGACGCUGCCGAAGGUAGGAUUGGCGACUGGGGUGAAGUCGUAACAAGGUACC